ACAUAUGGAGAAUUACUGCCAAAUAGGUGGGCUUUUCUGAAGAGAUGAAGCAGCAGACAUGCUGAGUCCAAAGGAAUCCUCCAGGAUCCCUGCAGGACACCUUCUUGGUGUCUUUCUCCACUGAGAUGCGAUGGAAAGAGCACAAUGCAAAACAGCAGGUUUGCUUCCUCUGUAAGCAGAGAGGAGAAAAGGGGGCAGCUCCUCCAAAGAGACUGGCUAAAUCUUUUGACAGCAUUGCUGCAAUCUGACUACAAAGCUCCAACAAGCCUCGGCCUCAGGAAAAUUCAUCUCUGCCCUCCCAACACACCCUGCAGCACCGAGAGGCCCUCCCUGAGGUUAAGGCCGUGUUAUGCUGGGCACCGCAGAGACCUGUAAUUGGUUGUCCACUGGAGGUAGGACAAGAAGUAAUGGGUUUAAACUGCAGAUGCGGAGAUGUAGAUUAGACAUUUCCUGCAUAUUAGGGUGGUUAAACGCUGGAAUAGAUUACAUCUGGAGACUGAGGUAUCUCCACCACUGGGGGGGUGUUAGGAGCAGGUUGAACAAAUCUGUCAGGAAUGGUUUCUCAUAUCGUGAGGUAGGGGGGUGAACCAGGAAGCCAAUUCUGGGCCCUCCGGCCCUAUUUUCUGUGGUCCUGUAAUAAGAGAAGGCCCCUGCCCCAGGAAGUUUUAGACUCAGCAGAUUAGACAGAUGAAAGCUUUGGCAGAUAUAAGGGCCACAUCCUUCAAAGGGGCUCAGCCCCAGCACACAUGGCUCUUUGGACCAUUUGGCCACUUGAUUUGGGAGUUGGGCUCUUGUGGGGGGAUAAAAACAGACCCUCCUGGAACUUGUCUGGGACUACAUCAGAAAUCUGUGAUGCAGCCCAGAUUUGGACACUACGUCUCCUGAGUUCCUGGCCGGGGUCUUCACCCAUCCCUCCCUCUCCCGGACCACUGAGGCCGUGCGAUCCAUCAGGUGCAUUUGUCUGUUGUCCCCCAAGCCCCCCUGCCACAUCCUCCGCAUUGUUCUUCCACCACUCUCUGAUUGCUGAGCAGCUUUUUGACUUUUCCAUCAAUAACUCUAAAGAACAGGUCCCCACCACCCUGUCCUCUCCCCUCCCCAUGGUUCCACGUCAGGCAAUCUCAUCGAUCAGAGCUGCUCAGGAAAUAUCUGGUGUUUUGUUGUCAGGAUGAUAAUAACAUUGCGGUUGUGAAUGGGCUGCUUCAGGCCUGAUCAAGGACACCUGCAGCGUUUGUUUAAUUGCAUUUAAUGACAAAUCCUAUAUGGCGGAGCACAGCUAGAGAGAUUUAUUAUCUGCCAAAGAGGCAAAGCACAACAGCUCAAAAUAUAAUUUGCACCAAGCAUUUCCCGCCCUCCCCACCUGCCUGCCCAGUCCCCGUCUCUCCUUAAGCCACUGUAAUAAAAAACAAGUUGGGUACAGUGGGCACCACCAGACUCAGCUGGGACAGGGAUGUAAACCAAAGGAAAUUGCAGCAAUAAGGCCAUGCUGUUUUUUCCACCACCCCUGUGGUCUGUUCUAUAGGAAAAGCUGUUGGUUUAAUUUACAGCCUGGAAGAGCCGCUGGAAAUCUCUCCAUGAAGGGCCAGCCUCUUCUAAGGCAGCUUGAGGCUAAGCGCUCCAUCCCCAUUAUGUGCGACUGGGCCGUUUCCAACAUGUUCCAGCAGCCCAGUUUGGAGCCUGUUUAUAUAGGAGGUAGGUUGGAAGGGAAGCAGUGGCGGAUUCCAGCAUCAGAGGUUGAAACAGCUCCAGUCUAUAGCAAAGCAGCUCUCUCGCUGUCUGAACCUCUGGGACGAUUGGCAUUGCCACACCCGAGCCUGAGAGACACUGAGCAGCUUCCAUUGACUUCACUAGGAGUUACGGGUACUCAGCAUCUUUCAAGAUCAGGCCCUUGAUCUGCUGAAUGCUCACCACAGCGUGGCAUUUGCUCAUAGGCCGUUGACAUGCUGCCCUUGGGUAGGCUCACAGAUAAGCCUACAGGGAGUUACUAUCCCCUCUCCAAAAUAAAUCAGCUUCUGAUUGGUCACCAUUUUAUUCUUUUUCCCAGAUUUGUGAAUAAAUGCAGCAACCUGAUUGACUGCCA